rnacentral:misc_RNA from 1 species
AUGGCGACGCCCAGUGAGUUGUCCCUUGAAGAAAUAAGGAAAUAUUUAUUGGAAAACGGUGGCUCCGCUCGCAAUCACGACUUGGUUAAACAUUUUAAAAAAUUUCUCACCGAUCCCGAAACUCGAGUCGAGUCGAGAAAUCGGUUCAAGGAGUACGUCAAUACCUUAGCUGCCAUUAAAAAUGAGGAUGGUGAAAAAUACCUGGUCCUUAAAAAAAAAUACCGACUCGGGUCGCUUUCACCGUCCGCAUCGUCGUCCUCGUUGAAGGGGUUGGGAUCGCCCGGCGCCUCUACGACCCCCGUAGAUUUUCCAACCCCGAUUUCAUCUCCGAGAGAACCCCCGCCGUACAGACCUCCGCCUGUGGCAUCGCCAACUUCGAAUUUACCCUCGAACGUAGAUACGGCUAAUCAGAGAUCUGCCGAAGAUUCGGAUCUUCACGAUGAACUCGAGGAGACCGAGGAGGCGCCAUCGAGGAACAGGGAAUAUUCCAGCAUCUCCGAAAACACUUCCGUUUCAUCGCCACCGAUUCCUCCGCGACGAAAGAGUCAGGACAAAUUGCGUGUUGAUAAUAACAAGGAAAAUGUCGUUCCCGAAGCUCCCAUUAAGGAGGACGACGGUCCUGCUUCCGCAACGACAACGACGUCUGCCGAACAACUGAGUGUUCGCGAAAGGAUGCAACGUUUCAACAAGAUGGCUAGCGAGACCGAUCUUCACGGUCGUAUCAACGGUUCGACAACGCCCACUAAGAAACGCUCCGAUAAGGGUACCGACGAUGAUGAUAGAGCUUCGGUUGCCUCGCAAUUGGACGGAAAAUCAAGAGAAUGGCUCGUUCGCGCUGCUCAAGGGGACUAUCAAGCUUUAGCUAAACUGGCAGCCGAGGAACCCCGACUCGCCAGAUUGAGGGAUCCAUCAUCCUAUACCGCAUUGCACUGGGGUGCGAAACACGGAAAUGAGGACAUCGUAAAACUGAUCGCCGGGACACACAAGGACUACAUAAAAGGAGUCAACGAAACUACGAACGGGGGAUACACGCCUCUUCAUAUCGCGAUGCAAUUCGAUCACGAGAAUAUAUUCAAUUUAUUGGUACAAGUUUACGGGGCGAACCAGGAACUCAGGGAUCACAGUGGUAAAAAAGCGCGGCAGUAUCUGGCGUCGCAAGAGGCGGCGGUCAGUCAAGACACCUUUCGUAGGAUUACUGCUGCAGCCACGCUCAGAAAUAAAAGCAAGGAAAAAGCAUGCAGAGAAAGAUCUUGGUUUCCUACGAAUUGGCUCAUUGAACGUCCGCGUGAAACGUACGACGGAAGCCUUCAGUCAAUUUCUGGGUGUGGCGAGUAGCAACGCGACGGCAACAAACGAGAAGAUUCACAAAACCUGGGGAUCCGCAGAUAAUAUUCAAACGGAACACAAAGUAAUGCCACCUCCGAAGUACGCGCCCAUAAAAAAACGACGAAGCAAACGAGCCCAAGACUUCUCAUCAUCUCGGGAGGGC